rnacentral:rRNA from 1 species
GACGAACGCUGGCGGCGUGCUUAACACAUGCAAGUCGAGCGGAGCGGCGAACGGGUGAGUAACGCGUGAGUAACUGCCCCCCUCUCUGGGAUAACAGUUGGAAACGGCUGCUAAUACCGGAUAGUGGGGGAUGACUCGCGUCCUAGCAGCUUGUUGGUGGGGUGGUGGCCUACCAAGGCGGUGACGGGUAGCCGGCCUGAGAUGGUGACCGGCCACAUUGGGCUGAGAUACGGCACAGACUCCUACGGGAGGCAGAAGUGGGAGAUAUGGCACAAUGGGCGAAAGCCUGAUGCAGCGACGCGCGUGGGGGAUGAAGUCUUUCGGGUUGUAAACCUCCUUCACGCCCGCUUGGGGAGGUGGAGAAGAAGCGCCGGCUAACUACGUGCCAGCAGCCGCGGUAAUUC